UUGGCAUAUAGAUUCAUGGACCUACCCAAGC
rnacentral:piRNA from 1 species